UACGGGGGGGGCGAUCGUUAUUAGGAAUUACUGGGCGUAAAGCGCACGUAGGCGGCGACGUAAGUCUUGUGUGAAAUCCAACGGCUCAACCGUUGAAUGGCAUUUGAAACUGCGUUGCUUGAGUCCGGGAGAGGAUGGUGGAAUUCCCAGUGUAGCGGUGAAAUGCGUAGAUAUUGGGAGGAACACCGGUGGCGAAGGCGGCCAUCUGGACCGGCACUGACGCUGAGGUGAGAAAGCUAGGGUAGCAAACGGG
rnacentral:rRNA from 1 species